AUGCAUGAGAGCAUCAGCUGUUCCAGACGACUGUGUGAUCACGCUCUCCGCAGCCGAUGUAAAACCUUUAAACAGGUCAACAUUCACAAGACCGCAGGGCCAGAAGGAUUACCAGGCCGUAUACUCCGAGCAUGCGCUGACCAACUGGCAAGUGUCUUCACUGACAUUUUCAACCUCUCCCUGUCUGAGUCUGUACUACCAACAUCUUUCAAGCAGACAACCAUAGUCACUGUGCCCAAGAAAACUAAGGUAACCUGCCUAAAUGACUACCAACCCGUAGCACUCACGUCUGUAGCCAUGAAGUGCUUUGAAAGGCUGGUCAUGCCCCUAAUCAAAACGAAACAAAACGGCCUAAACCCAGCCGUCAGAAAACACAGAAAAUGUAACUUCUUUCAAUGUGUCAAUCACUCUCGAGUCAUCUGGGACCCACGAGCUAAGCCCAAGGGACUAUUAGGGGGGCACUUGAACAUUCGUAGUGUCAUUCCAAAAAGUGAUCAAAUUCAACAUCUACUCACAGACUCCAACCUUGACUUUCUCUGCCUCUCAGAGACAUGGCUCCAUAAACACUCUCCAUAUGCUGCUUUGAUUGUGCCUGGCUACAAUGUUUUCAGGAGAGACAGGAUUGAAGGAAGAGGAGGGGGUGUAAUGAUUUACAUUAAAGAACAUAUCCGAUGUAAACAAAUUGAGUGGUCAUGUGAUAAUGAACUAGAAUGUAUCAGCCUGAACGUUACACUGUCUCCCCAAAUGUCUUUUACCCUCAUUGGAAUGUAUAGGCCACCUUCCACCAAAAGUGUGUUUUUUGAUCAGUUUAAUACCAUGCUUAGGGAAUGUGAUUUUGGGAAAGAGGUCAUCUUAAUGGGAGAUUUUAACAUUAAUUAUGAAGACAAGUGUUGUAGGAAAACCCUCAAACGAAUCACUAAUACCUUUGACCUUACACAGCUAGUUAAAGGGCCAACCAGGGUGACUUGUUGCUCUAAAACACAGAUUGAUUUGGUGUUCAGUAAUAAACCAGAGAGAGUGACUAAAUCAUUCAAUAUGGUUACUGGGCUAUCUGAUCAUAAUCUGACACUUAUAGCCAGAAAGCUGUCUAAGAGCAGGUUUAACCUCUCUACUGUUAGAUUGCCGGAUCAACUCAGAAUACCUAAGAGUGAAUUAAACUAUUUUGAAAAAGCAAUUAAGGGAAUAAACUGGAAUGAUCUCUUGUCCUAUACAGAUGUGGAAGCUGAUAGUCAGGUUUUUCUAUCCACAAUCCAGACUACAAUAAAUGGCUUCCUAAAGAAAAUCAAAUCCAAACCUGGCCAAAAGAGCACUCUUCCUUGGCUAAAUGGAGACAUCUGGAAAUUGAUGAAAGAACGAGAUUAUGCUCUAAAAACAGACCUACAAUCCAAAUUAGAGCAUGACAGACGUAGGUUUACCAUGUUGAGAAAUACGGUGAUGAAAGAAAUUAGACAGGCCAAGGCAAACUUCUUUAUUAACAUAAUUGGUGAAGCAAAGGGAAAUUCUAAAUUGAUAUGGGAGAAUCUAAAAAAGUUAACAGGGAAAGACCAUAGUAACACUGCAAAAAGACUAGAAAUCAUGGUGAAUAACAAUCUAACACAGGAUGCAGUCGAAAUAGCAAUAGCCUUCAAUUCCUACUUUAUUGACUGUCAGUGCACUGACACAGAACCCCUCCACUUGUUUCCUGGGCCCAGUGCUAGUGAAUGA
rnacentral:lncRNA from 13 species